UCUCCUGGGAAACGGGUGGUAAUGCCGGAUGCUCCAGUUGAUCGCAUGGUCUUCUGGGAAAGCUUUCGCGGUAUGGGAUGGGGUCGCGUCCUAUCAGCUUGACGGCGGGGUAACGGCCCACCGUGGCUUCGACGGGUAGCCGGCCUGAGAGGGCGACCGGCCACAUUGGGACUGAGAUACGGCCCAGACUCCUACGGGAGGCAGCAGUGGGGAAUAUUGCACAAUGGGCGCAAGCCUGAUGCAGCGACGCCGCGUGAGGGAUGGAGGCCUUCGGGUUGUAAACCUCUUUUAUCGGGGAGCAAGCGAGAGUGAGUUUACCCGUUGAAUAAGCACCGGCUAACUACGUGCCAGCAGCCGCGGUAAUACGUAGGGUGCAAGCGUUAUCCGGAAUUAUUGGGCGUAAAGGGCUCGUAGGCGGUUCGUCGCGUCCGGUGUGAAAGUCCAUCGCUUAACGGUGGAUCCGCGCCGGGUACGGGCGGGCUUGAGUGCGGUAGGGGAGACUGGAAUUCCCGGUGUAACGGUGGAAUGUGUAGAUAUCGAAAAAGAACACCA
rnacentral:rRNA from 1 species